rnacentral:snoRNA from 1 species
AGGACUUGUCUUUGUCUUGGUUGAACUGAUAGACAAAGAUUAAAGACAGGUGCAAAAAUAAAUCCUCUUUUGCAACCCAGAGCUCAUUUUCAAGAAUGACUGUUGAUACAGAUAAGAAGGAAUAUG